GAUGAACGCUGGCGGCGUGCCUAAUACAUGCAAGUCGAGCGAACAGACGAGGAGCUUGCUCCUCUGACGUUAGCGGCGGACGGGUGAGUAACACGUGGAUAACCUACCUAUAAGACUGGGAUAACUUCGGGAAACCGGAGCUAAUACCGGAUAAUAUAUUGAACCGCAUGGUUCAAUAGUGAAAGACGGUUUUGCUGUCACUUAUAGAUGGAUCCGCGCCGCAUUAGCUAGUUGGUAAGGUAACGGCUUACCAAGGCGACGAUGCGUAGCCGACCUGAGAGGGUGAUCGGCCACACUGGAACUGAGACACGGUCCAGACUCCUACGGGAGGCAGCAGUAGGGAAUCUUCCGCAAAGGGCGAAAGCCUGACGGAGCAACGCCGCGUGAGUGAUGAAGGUCUUCGGAUCGUAAAACUCUGUUAUUAGGGAAGAACAAAUGUGUAAGUAACUAUGCACGUCUUGACGGUACCUAGUCAGAAAGCCACGGCUAACUACGUG
rnacentral:rRNA from 1 species